AUGGCCGGUUCCAGUAGCGUCGGCCUCAACCUCGGAGCUCCGCCAACAGAGAAGCUCACAAGGGGAAAUUUUCUCCUUUGGAAAGCGCAGGUAAUGCCGGCACUGCGAGGCGCACAAGUAACCGGCCUCCUCGACGGCUCAGAUGCCGCACCGCCAAGAUCGGUGGAGGUCACGAAGGCAGACAAGACCACGGCCAUCGAACCAAACCCUCUAUAUGGACCGUGGCUGGCGAAAGAUCAACAGGUUCUGAGCUACCUGUUGAACUCGCUCACCCCUGAAAUCCUGGCGCAGGUCAUUGGUAAGGAGAGUACUCAUGAUCUAUGGAUUGCUCUUACCACACUGUUUGCUGCGCAGUCCCAAUCCAGGAUAACAAAUUUGAGAAUUGCCAUCUCCAACACCAAGAAGGGCAAUAUGUCAAGCAACUCCUUCAUCGCCAAGAUGAAGAGUCUCGGGGAUGAGCUUGCAGCCGCCGGUCGUCCAGUGACCGAUGGCGAGAUGGUUGACUAUAUCCUCGCCGGCCUUGAUCGGGACUACGAUCCCAUAGUUGCUGCAGUCGGUGCAAUCAAAAAUUCAAUCACCGUGGAUGAUCUUUUCUCACAGAUCGCAGCCUUCGACCAGAGGAUGGAGAUGUUGGGCGACGGGCCUUCAGGUUUUCGUUCGUCUGCAAAUACCAUGUACAGAGGUCGUGGGCAGUACCGCAACAGAGGAAGUCGCGGGAGAGGGAACAGAGGGCGCGGCCGUGGCAAUCGCGCCCCUUCUUCUUCUGCUCGCGGAGGUGGCGGCAACUACCAGCAACGCCAGCAACAACCUCCACAACAACAGCAGCAGCAACAUGAAGGGGACUAUCCAGAGUGCCAGAUCUGUUAUAAGUUCCAUCCCGGAGGUGCAAGGGCCUGCUGGCAUCGGUAUGAUGAUGAUCAUGAAGAGAGGAAGAAGGCCAACCUCGUCACUAACUCCUACGGGAUUGAUACAAAUUGGUACGCAGAUUCCGGAGCUACCGAGCAC
rnacentral:rRNA from 1 species